rnacentral:lncRNA from 1 species
AUGAACAGAGCACAGUCUAGCAAUCACUCUACACCCUACAUCCUGCUGGGUCUUCUACAUCCUGCUGGGUCUUCUACAUCCUGCUGGGUCUUCUACAUCCUGCUGGGUCUCCUACAUCCUGCUGGGUCUCCUACAUCCUGCUGGGUCUCCUACAUCCUGCUGGGUCUUCUACAUCCUGCUGGGUCUCCUACAUCCUGCUGGGUCUUCUACAUCCUGCUGGGUCUCCUACAUCCUGCUGGGUCUUCUACAUCCUGCUGGGUCUCCUACAUCCUGCUGGGUCUUCUACAUCCUGCUGGGUCUCCUACAUCCUGCUGGGUCUUCUACAUCCUGCUGGGUCUAGUUACAACAGAAAGAGGUCUGGUCUUCCACAGACUGAUUAAUCUAGUAUCAACAGAAAGAGGUCUGGUCUUCUACAUCCUGCUGGGUCUUCUACAUCCUGCUGGGUCUCCUACAUCCUGCUGGGUCUUCUACAUCCUGCUGGGUCUAGUUACAACAGAAAGAGGUCUGGUCUUCCACAGACUGAUUAAUCUAGUUACAACAGAAAGAGGUCUGGUCUUCUACAGACUGAUUAAUCUAGUAUCAACAGAAAGAGGUCUGGUCUUCUACAUCCUGCUGGGUCUAGUUACAACAGAAAGAGGUCUGGUCUUCUACAGACUGAUUAAUCUAGUUACAACAGAAAGAGGUCUAGUCUUCUACAGACUGCUGGGUCUAGUUACAACAGAAAGAGGUCUGGUCUUCCACAGACUGAUUAAUCUAGUAUCAACAGAAAGAGGUCUGGUCUUCUACAGACUGAUUAAUCUAGUUACAACAGAAAGAGGUCUGGUCUUCCACAGACUGAUUAAUCUAGUAUCAACAGAAAGAGGUCUGGUCUUCUACAGACUGAUGAAUCUAGUUACAACAGAAAGAGGUCUAGUCUUCCACAGACUGAUGAAUCUAGUAUCAACAGAAAGAGGUCUGGUCUUCUACAGACUGAUUAAUCUAGUUACAACAGAAAGAGGUCUGGUCUUCUACAUCCUGCUGGGUCUAGUUACAACAGAAAGAGGUCUGGUCUUCUACAGACUGAUUAAUCUAGUUACAACAGAAAGAGGUCUGGUCUUCCACAGACUGAUGAAUCUAGUUACAACAGAAAGAGGUCUAGUCUUCCACAGACUGAUGAAUCUAGUUACAACAGAAAGAGGUCUGGUCUUCCACAGACUGAUGAAUCUAGUUACAACAGAAAGAGGUCUAGUCUUCCACAGACUGAUGAAUCUAGUUACAACAGAAAGAGGUCUGGUCUUCUACAUCCUGCUGGGUCUAGUUUCAACAGAAAGAGGUCUGGUCUUCUACAUCCUGCUGGGUCUAGUUUCAACAGAAAGAGGUCUGGUCUUCUACAUCCUGCUGGGUCUAGUUACAACAGAAAUAGGUCUGGUCUUCUACAUCCUGCUGGGUCUAGUUUCAACAGAAAGAGGUCUGGUCUUCUACAGACUGAUUAAUCUAGUUACAACAGAAAGAGGUCUGGUCUUCUACAUCCUGCUGGGUCUAGUUACAACAGAAAGAGGUCUGGUCUUCUACAUCCUGCUGGGCCUCCUACAUCCUGCUGGGUCUAGUUUCAACAGAAAGAGGUCUGGUCUUCUACAGACUGAUUAA